UACGUAGGCAGCAAGCGUUGUUCGGACUUACUGGGCGUAAAGGGUGCGUAGGCGGUGCUCUAAGUUUGGUGUGAAAUCUCCCGGCUUAACUGGGAGGGUGCGCCGAAGACUGGGGUGCUGGAGUGCGGGAGAGGAAAGCGGAAUUCCUGGUGUAGCGGUGAAAUGCGUAGAGAUCAGGAGGAACACCUGCGGUGUAGACGGCUUUCUGGACCGUAACUGACGCUGAGGCACGAAAGCGUGGGUAGCAAGCAGG
rnacentral:rRNA from 1 species